rnacentral:rRNA from 1 species
CCCAGACUCCUACGGGAGGCAGCAGUGGGGAAUAUUGCACAAUGGGGGAAACCCUGAUGCAGCGACGCCGCGUGAGUGAAGAAGUAUUUCGGUACGUAAAGCUCUAUCAGCAGGGAAGAAAAAAAGUCCUUUGGACUUUGGACGGUACCUGACUAAGAAGCCCCGGCUAACUACGUGCCAGCAGCCGCGGUAAUACGUAGGGGGCAAGCGUUAUCCGGAUUUACUGGGUGUAAAGGGAGCGUAGACGGCAGCACAAGUCUGGAGUGAAAUGCCGGGGCUUAACCCCGGAACUGCUUUGGAAACUGUGCAGCUAGAGUGCAGGAGAGGUAAGUGGAAUUCCUAGUGUAGCGGUGAAAUGCGUAGAUAUUAGGAGGAACACCAGUGGCGAAGGCGGCUUGCUGGACGAUGACUGACGCUGAGGCUCGAAAGCGUGGGGAGCAAACAGGAUUAGAUACCCUAGUA